UACGAAGGGGGCUAGCGUUGUUCGGAAUUACUGGGCGUAAAGGGCGCGUAGGCGGUGCGUCAAGUCAGGCGUGAAAGCCCCGGGCUCAACCUGGGAACCGCGCUUGAGACUGGCACGCUAGAGUUCGGGAGAGGAUGGUGGAAUUCCCAGUGUAGAGGUGAAAUUCGUAGAUAUUGGGAAGAACACCGAUGGCGAAGGCAGCCAUCUGGACCGACACUGACGCUGAGGCGCGAAAGCGUGGGGAGCAAACAGG
rnacentral:rRNA from 1 species